rnacentral:rRNA from 1 species
UACGUAGGGGGCAAGCGUUGUCCGGAUUUAUUGGGCGUAAAGAGCGUGUAGGCGGCUGGGUAGGUCCGUUGUGAAAACUCGAGGCUCAACCUCGAGACGCCGAUGGAAACCCUCCAGCUAGAGUCCGGAAGAGGAGAGUGGAAUUCCUGGUGUAGCGGUGAAAUGCGCAGAUAUCAGGAAGAACACCCGUGGCUAAGGCGGCUCUCUAGUACGGUACUGACGCUGAGGCGCGAAAGCGUGGGGGGCAAACAGG